rnacentral:lncRNA from 1 species
AAUUGAAAUGUGAGAGCGAAUGAGUGGAGUGGGUCUAAGUAGUACAAAGUCUUCUUUGCAAACCCACUAUAACGUUCCUCAAACUUCAGUUGGCUUUCCUUUUAAAUUUCUGCAUCGUAAUGUUGAUGUUGAAUGCAAAGCUGUGAUGAGUGGAUAGUUGAAUGCAUACUGAGGUGACUAGAUGAAUGCUAUGAAUCCACAAGUAG